CCUACGGGAGGCAGCAGUGGGGAAUAUUGCACAAUGGGGGAAACCCUGAUGCAGCGACGCCGCGUGAGUGAAGAAGUAUUUCGGUAUGUAAAGCUCUAUCAGCAGGAACGAGACACGACGGUACCUGACUAAGAAGCCCCGGCUAACUACGUGCCAGCAGCCGCGGUAAUACGUAGGGGGCAAGCGUUAUCCGGAAUCACUGGGUGUAAAGGGAGCGUAGACGGCUGUGCAAGCCUGAAGUGAAAGGCGGGGCCCAAACCCUGGACUGCUGUGGGAACUGGACGGCUGGAGUGCAGGAGAGGUAAGUGGAAUUCCUAGUGUAGCGGUGAAAUGCGUAGAUAUUAGGAGGAACACCAGUGGCGAAGGCGGCUUACUGGACUGUAACUGACGUUGAGGCUCGAAGGCGUGGGGAGCAAACAGGAUUAGAUACCCCUGUAGUC
rnacentral:rRNA from 1 species